CCUCUAUUCCUUGUUUAACAACAUUGCGUUAUGCAAGCUAGCAAGACAAGGGAGAGGAGUGUCGCUCGCCACCGCGCGUAAACCAUUCAACGGGGCAACAAAAUAAGCGUCUCAAGGGGGAAUAAAACAAGACUGCUUUUUCAAAAACAAAUCUAAGGUGAUUGGAUCCCUCGAUAUCCAGUGCUUCUCUGGUAUUCCUGCUCUAAGGGUGAUGUCAAUCGCCUUUCUCGCCCGCCUGGCAAGGUGCAGCAGUGGACCCCAUGUUGGACGUAACGGUCUCCCCCAAAUGGCCCUGGCUCCCCUCCCGUUGAAGCAGGACAUCGCCCUUUACUCCGCCAUCCCCAAGAGGCAGAUCCACACGCCUUCAGACAAGCGCCGCAGCGGCACACGUUUCGACGCCGACAGCAGCGGGCGCCCCACCACCUGGGACUCGUUCGGCAUCUGGGACAAUCGCAUCGACGAGCCCAUCCUGCUGCCGUCCAGCAUCCGCUACGGCAAGCCCAUUCCCAAGGUCAGCCUUUCCAAUGUGGGCUGCGCCUCGCUCAUUGGGCAGCGCAAGGAGAACGAAGACCGCUUCCAGCUCUCCCAAAUGACCGACAAUAUUAUCUACUUUGCUGUGUUUGACGGGCACGGUGGACCAGAAGCGGCGGAUUUCUGUCACAAAUACUUGGAAAAUUUUAUCAAGGAUCUUGUGGCCGGCGAGGACAAUCUGGAGCUGGUUUUAACUCGAGCCUUCCUGGAAGUAGACAAAGCUUUAGCCAAGCAUUUGCAGUGCUCUUCAGAUGCGCCCGGGGUGAACGCGGGCACCACUGCUACCGUGGCCCUGCUGAGGGACGGCAUCGAGCUGGUUGUGGCCAGCGUGGGCGACAGCCGCGCCAUGCUGUGCCGCAAGGGCAAGGCGCUCAAGCUCACAGUGGACCACACACCUGAAAGGAGGGACGAGAAGGAGAGGAUCAAGAGGAGCGGCGGCUUCAUCACUUGGAACAGUUUGGGGCAGUCCAAUGUCAAUGGCAGGCUGGCCAUGACGCGCAGCAUCGGUGACUUUGACUUGAAGGGCGUCGGGGUGAUUGCCGAGCCAGAGACCAAGAGAAUCGUGCUGAGCCCCGUGCACGAUUCCUUCCUGGCGCUGACCACCGAUGGUGUCAACUUCAUCAUGAACAGCCAGGAGAUCUGCAACGUCAUCAACCAGUGUCACGACCCAAAAGAGGCGGCGCAACGCAUCUCUGAGCAGGGUUAACGCGGCAUGCUGUGGCGACGACCUUUGACCCGGAGCUCUCAUGAGAUGCUUGUCAGCCUCCCUCGCCUCCUCCUGACCAGUGCAGCUCCGCUCGCUCGCAAGGCCUGCAGUGAACGCGAUGGAGCGAGGCUGUCACAUCAACGUAGCGAUGCUGGACGACCUCGGCGUCAACGGCCUCCUGGGUUCCCAGGUUGCCAGGGUUACGGAGC